rnacentral:misc_RNA from 1 species
ACCCCAAAAAAAAAGCGCUCUUGUGGCACAAGCCCAUAAAGAAGCCACGAACACUACCUAAUGCCACAGCAAAUAAUAGGACAAUCUUGGGUUGUCUCAAAUGGUCCAAUCAAAUACUCCGAAUGAUCAUAACAAAAAUAUUAGAAACUUUGAUAUCUUUUCUUCCUCCUAAACCCCAUCUUUGUCAAACCAAGAAUUUUCUGAAGACUUUGGAUGUGCUUACUGCACCUCAAAAAUGCUAAAUUGUUCAAGCCACCUCACUGUAUAACCUAUAUUUGCAUUUAUCUUACCAUAUUCAAAUAUUGUAGUUGAUUUCUUCGGAUAGAUUAAAUUUAGAUGUCUUGAUGUUCAAUAGAAAUUAUGCAAGCCACUGUGCUUUAGAUAGAGACUCUUGAAAACGUGCUUGUACAAGGCUUUGGUAUAUUUCUCAAGGAAGAUCAUAAGACGGGUUAUAAUGUUUCUGAUUCUUUUGAAUACCAG